AUUGAACGCUGGCGGCCGGCCUAACACAUGCAAGUCGAGCGAGCGGCGGACGGGUGAGUAAUGUAUGGGGACUGCCCGAUAGAGGGGGAUCAAUACUGGAAACGGUGGAUAAUACCGCAUACUGUCGGAUAACCCAUAUGGGAUUAGCUAGUAGGUAAGGUAAUGGCUUACCUAGGCGACGAUCCCUAGCUGGUCUGAGAGGAUGAUCAGCCACACUGGAACUGAGACACGGCCCAGACUCCUACGGAGGCAGCAGUGGGAAAUAUUGCACAAUGGGGGAAGGCCGAAUGAGUCAAGGCCGGGUGUAGGAAGAGGGUCCUAGGGUUGUAAAGUACUUUCAGUCGGGAGGCGUUACCGAAAGAGGAAGCACCGGCUAACUACGUGCCAGCAGCCGCGGUAAUUC
rnacentral:rRNA from 1 species